AGCGAACGCUGGCGGCAGGCUUAACACAUGCAAGUCGAGCGGGCAUCCUUGUGGUGUCAGCGGCAGACGGGUGAGUAACGCGUGGGAACGUGCCCUUCGGUUCGGAAUAACUCAGGGAAACUUGAGCUAAUACCGGAUACGUGCGAGAGCAGAAAGGUUUAUCUGCCGAAGGAUCGGCCCGCGUCUGAUUAGCUAGUUGGUGAGGUUAUGGCUCACCAAGGCGACGAUCAGUAGCUGGUCUGAGAGGAUGAUCAGCCACACUGGGACUGAGACACGGCCCAGACUCCUACGGGAGGCAGCAGUGGGGAAUAUUGGACAAUGGGGGCAACCCUGAUCCAGCCAUGCCGGGUGAGUGAUGACGGCCUUAGGGUUGUAAAGCUCUUUUCUCCGGGACGAUAAUGACGGUACCGGAGGAAUAAGCCCCGGCUAACUUCGUG
rnacentral:rRNA from 1 species